ensembl:snoRNA Gm23699 small nucleolar RNA SNORA70
CUGCAGCCAGUGAGGCCUCCAGGUUCCUUUCCUCAUGGGGCCCUGAUGUGCCAUGGCUAUAAGCAGCAACCUCCUUGGUAGUGUGGGCAGCCUGUUGCCUGUCUGAGUUGCCCUGAGGGAAUUUGGAGUCUGUG